rnacentral:lncRNA from 1 species
CUGUACCUGAGUGGAGAGAUGGGGCCCAGGCACGGUCGGUUGACGUGGUGUAAUUGCUGACGUGUUGAUCUUCUUCUCCUCUGGUCGAUUGUCCUUUCUUGCUGUCUCCUUUGGUCGGUCGUCCCUUCGUGCUAUCAACUUCGGUCGGGCGGGGGAGGGUACCUGCGAAGGCACUCCGACGCUCAAGUAAGUAUGAGAUUCUAAGCGCAGUUUCGUAAGUGAAUGAAAACGUCCCUUUCUC